CAUGCAUCCACUACCCUCUCAGUAAAGUAAUACUUCCUAAUAUUUUUAAACCUUUGCCCCUCUAAUUUAAGAGUAUGUCCUCUUGUUAUGGUAGUUUUUCUUCUUUUAAAUAUAGUCUCCUCCUUUACUGUGUUGAUUCCCUUUAUGUAUUUAAAUGUAACUAUCAUAUCCACCCUGUCUCGUCUUUCCUCCAAACUAUACAUGUUAAUAACCUUUCCUGGUAAGUUUUAUCCUGCAAUCCAUGAACCAGCUUAGUAG